rnacentral:tRNA from 1 species
GAGGGGAUAGCUCAAGUGGUAGAGCAUAUGCUUAGCACACAUGGGUUCCUGGGUUCAAUCCCCAGUCUCUCCU